UUACCACUUAUUGCCCCAAACACACUAUGCUUUCUCAUCAUUAUUAACUUCACACACACUCAGCCUGACCACCAGCCUCCGCACUUCAACUUAAGCAAGAGUUACACACCUUGAACAAUGGGGGAAGUGACACCUGAUCACUCUGAUGCCGACUUCACCUACAAUUAUGAGGUGAUUAGAAAAGGAGGGCUGAUCUUCGCUGCUGUUCUGUUCUGUUUUGGCAUUGCCAUUAUUAUGGGCAAAAGGCUGACCUGUGGGAGCAAACAAAAAGCAAAACCUGUGGACUUGGAUGAGCUUUAAAUUUUGGUGUGGUUACUGACUCACUUAUGUAAAGCAGGUUUCCCAACGUGUACCCUAACCCUACCACCUAUGAAGAUCAAUCCUCUAUCACCUGAAAACAUAAAAUCAAAUAAAAAACAGUGAUCAGUCUCUGUAGUAUAAUGGUCUGUUUAGUAAAGUAGUAUAGUGUAAAACUGAAAAUAUCCUCAUUUAUUUCGCAUCUAGUUGUAUUUUUUUCUAAUUGUUCAUUGUCAGCUGACACAUGCAUUUAACAUACGAAUUGCUCUUAAAAAACUGAAUAAAAUCAAAUGAAAAAUG